AUUGAACGCUGGCGGCAGGCCUAACACAUGCAAGUCGAGCGGAGCGGCGGACGGGUGAGUAAUGCCUAGGAAUCUGCCUGGUAGUGGCGUAUAACGUCCGGAAACGGGCGCUAAUAACACAUACUUUCAGAUGAGCCUAGGUGGGAUUAGCUAGUUGGUGGGGUAAAGGCCGACCAAGGCGACGAUGCGUAACUGGCCUGAGAGUAUGAUCAGUCACACUGGAACUGAGACACGGCCCAUACUCCUACGGGAGGCAGCAGUAGGGAAUAUUGGACAAUGGGCGAAAGUCGGACCCAGCAAUGGCGCGUGAGUGAAGAAGGUCUUCGGAUUGUAAAUCCCUUUGAGUAGGGAAGCGGUACCUACAGAGUAAGCAACGGCUAACUCCGUGCCAGCAGCCGCGGUAAUAC
rnacentral:rRNA from 1 species